CUUGGCGGCCAUAGCAGUUUGGACCCACCUGAUCCCAUCCCGAACUCAGAAGUGAAACGAACGUGCGCCGAUGAUAGUGUGGAUUACCCAUGUGAAAGUAGGUCACCGCCAGGC
rfam:Sulfuricella denitrificans skB26 DNA, complete genome.